UAAUUUUCUUGGGGCCCUUAGUCUCCUUCGGUUUUUGCUAGCUAGCUUGUGGCCCCAUCUGGGCAGGGGAAGUAAUUCAUCCUUUGUUCAGAAGUGGAUUCACUAGAUCCUUUCUCCGAGGUAUCUAUGGGGAAACAAUCUUGAGUCGGCGAGCUCUUUUGUUCUUGUAUGGCAUGCGGUUUAGCUGCUUCUGGUGGUGGUUGCUCGUGGGGUGCAAUCUGAAAGUUUAGCCCGGAAGGCGCGAAUGAGACGCCGAAGAACCUCACUAUUGCAAUCUUUUGCUUUCUUGGUGCCGGUGUGAUGUUUCCAUGGCUUUUCGAAGGCGGCCAGUGGCUUCCCUUUGUGGGUUUUGGUACCUAGGAUGGGGUAUUUCUUCUCUGUAACAGGC
rnacentral:misc_RNA from 1 species